rnacentral:rRNA from 1 species
UGCUUUAGGACUAAAGCAUGGGUAUAGAAGGGUUUAGUCCCGUAUUCCAUGCCCUCAGAUCUGUAUGUUACUGUUUGCGGUUGAAAUCUGGUUAGAUGGUUAGUUAAAAGCGUAGAGCAUACUACUUGACAAGUAUGCUGGCAACAGUCAAAGUCAUAGGAACAGAUGGACUCGGAAUGGAAUCGAUGGAUCAUCACGUUUAAUUUGACUAUCCGCGAGGAAUCUUACCAUCGUUUGAAUUAUAAGACCUGAUCUUAAAUGU